rnacentral:misc_RNA from 1 species
UUGAGUGUAUUUUGGGUUUCCUGUUUUGAAUACCAAUUUCAUGGUAUUGUUUUGGAUGAUCGAAGUCCUUUUUCAUUUUGUAUCGCCUUUGUGAUUCAAGAUGAACUACAAAGUGGUCUCUAUGUCCCAUUAUAUUGAUGCUAAUGCAUUGAUGUGGUGGCGUGUUGAGCUUUGCUUGGUAUCCUGGAUACGGAACAUUAAGUGGGCAUUGGUCUUUAGUGGCUCUUGUUUUGCUCUCGCUAAGUAUUCUUCGAAACGACUGUUCAUGCACGCCUAGGCUCGUACCUGCGUGAUGAACUUUGUCAAAGAGGAAUGCUACCUGGUUGAUCCUGCCA